UACGAAGGGGGCUAGCGUUGUUCGGAAUUACUGGGCGUAAAGCGCGCGCAGGCGGCUAUCCAAGUCAGUGGUGAAAGCCCGGAGCUCAACUCCGGAACUGCCAUUGAAACUGUUUAGCUUGAGGACGAGAGAGGUGAGUGGAAUUCCCAGUGUAGAGGUGAAAUUCGUAGAUAUUGGGAAGAACACCGGUGGCGAAGGCGGCUCACUGGCCCGGUACUGACGCUGAGGUGCGAAAGCGUGGGGAGCAAACAGG
rnacentral:rRNA from 1 species